rnacentral:lncRNA from 1 species
CUUGAAUUCAGGAGGUUGAGGCUGCAGUGAGCUAGGAUUGCACCACUGCACUCCAACCUGGGUGACAGAGCAAGACCUUGUUUCUAAAACAAAAGACAAAUUAGACAAAUUAGAGUGGUUCUAGAAACUGGGAGGGUAAGUGUGUACAUUCCAUCAAGGGCUAUAGAAAAUAGAGCAUACAGGCCUGGAUUUCAUUUUAGGAUUAUUAAUAGAAUUCAGCUUCUUGAAGUAAUAAUCCUGUCUACAGCCAUACCACCCUGAAUGCCCCCGAUCUCGUCUGAAGUAAUAAUCCUUUAUUCUGUAGUCAUUUUCAUCCACAGUUCCUCCAAGGCAGGAGAACCUAGAAGGAAUUUAUUUGCUGAGCCACGGGAGGAGCAGCCCACUGAAUUACUUAUGAAAUAUAAUGUCGCUCAUUUCCUUUACCAAAAACAAAACAAAACAAAACAAAGAUGAAGGAGGUGGAACAGAAGAAAAAGGAGGAGGAGGAAUUGGAGAGGAAAACAAUAUCAAACAUGGGAUCCUAUGCAACCGAGGUGGCCGUACAACACAGAAGUCUGCUGAAUCGCUCCAAAACAAUAAAGAGAAUGAGAAACAAUAGUGAAACCCAUAUUCUAUAAGGGCAGGAGACAUCUGUAAUCUGGAACUGCAAUGGAUGAAGAUGAGAAACCGAUGGAGGAAUGGGAGCCACUUAUUAGAUCUCUGGAAAGUCAAACCCAAGAGCCAGGAGGUGAUACCAUUGUGAAUCAGGCUGACUUCCCACUGCGGAAAACAGGGAAGUCUGGAGAGUUGACAGAUCCACAUACUGCAUUGAUCAGAAGUGAACAUGGAACUGAAAACAGCCCUGUAGUAGAAAGAUAAUAACACCAGGUACCAUUUGUGGUGCACCUUUUCUUCCUCUUUACAAACAUUCUCUCAUGCAAUCCUCAUGACAACAGCAAAAGGUAUUAUUUCCCUCCUUUUAUGGAUGCAAAAUCUAAGGCUCAGAGGGAAAAAGUCUUUUGUCCCAGAUUGCAAAGAGAGAAUAAGACACUGCAUCAAUGUAUGUAUCCUUAAUUCCAAAGCCCUACCACUAGACCCCACCACCUCUCUGGGUAAAACCGAGCCAUGAGUGCCCAGUGUACCCAUGCUGAAUAGGUGGCCAGGGUGACAUAUGCCUGGCAAUGGUGAUGGCAGGGACU